GUCCCGUCGCAGUCGCACGGAAACGCGUCCGCGGUGCACUAGGCGUACGUCGUACGGGUGUGUUCUCGACACGUCGACCGCGCGCGUGCUCGUUCGUUGUCUCGCGCGCAUCGUUCGUUUCCGCCGUCGUCUCACCGUUUUUUUCGGCUUUCCCGUCCGUUGUUUACGUUUCGUUUUUUUUUUUUUUCACAUCACGAGUCGGCCGACGAACGUUGUUGUCGGACCCCUCGGUGUUCUCCACGUUGUUUGCAAACCCUCCCUCCUCCUCCCCCGCCUCACCGCGCGACCGCUACCGCGUUCAUGUACGCGAGAACUCGGACUUUCGGUCAGCCGCCUCAAGCGCCCGUGGCCAUGCCGUCGCAGCCGGCCCUCAACCGGCCGAGAGGAAUGUUCGCUCACAAAAAGAUUUCGGGGUUUCUGCAAGACGCGGACGAUUCGGACCUGCACCACGAUAUGAGCUCGGUGAUCGAGAAUUUCCAGAAAAAGAAUAGCGUCGGAUCCAUCGGUCCUUCCGCGGCCAUGGCAGCAACGACCUCAAUGAUGACCGCCGGCACCACCACCGGCAAUCACAUGGCCUCGUCGUUGCAGCAGCAGCAACAGGAGCAGCAGUCGUCCUCGUCGUCGCUCCAGUCGUCCUCGUGCUCGCGGUUGAUGGAGUCAUCGUCGUCGCAGCACGUGGUCCAUCAAGUGUCCGAGACGACCACCACGUCGUCCUCGUCUUCGCUGUCGUCCGAACUGCAGAACUCGUCGUCAGAGCUGCUGGAACGACGGGUGCAGCUGCAGGCCGGUGAUGUGACCGAUCGCCACUGCCCGGCCGGAGCGGACCAUCCGUCCGAUCCGCUGGUCACGUUCCCCGAAUCGCCGCCUGUGCUCAUAUCCAAAGCGUCGCCACUGCUCCAGACGUCCGCAGCGACCCGUCCGACGCCGGUCAGACUGCUGCCGCAGACCAACGGUCAGACUAAGUACGGCGCGGCCGAGCGUCGUGUGUCCACCGCGUCGUCCAAGCUGGUCAAGGAGGAGUACGAGGCGUUGUCGUCGUCGUCGUCGUCCAACAGCAGCACCGUGUCCGAUACGACGCAGGACGUGCUGCAGUCGUUGCACCACGCGGACGUGCGCAAAUUGCACGCGGCCAACGCGAUGAUCCGGGCCAAGCUGACCGGGACGAUGGUCGAACGCGGCACCGACACACUACAGAAAGCUACAAGCGCACAGCAGCAAAGACAAACCAUCACCUCGUCGGGAAUGUUCAACCAAGAGAAACACAUUGCGCAAUCGUCGCAGUCGAACUUCACGUUCACUAAAAAAGGCAUCAGCACGAGUUCACAGGCCGUAUCGUCAGCUACUUCGCAGUCGUCGCACAACGGAUCGUCGUCCGGCAAUGGUGGAUCGUCUCCUCCGUCAGUGCACCUGAUGGUGAGAACCGUUGACGAUCUUCUGAACACCAGUUUCGACGAUCUGGACCGGAUGCGAGAGUUCGCCAACCCGACGGACGUGGAGAACGCUAUAGCAAAGUACUCGAAGUACCUGGAAACCGCGGUCCAUGGCUUGACGAGCGGCAAGUACGCUGAGGUCAGAGGUCUGACGAUGCUCGACAAAAUGUUUGAGAUGAUAUGCAAAGCGUGGGCCGUGCCCACCUACGAGCUGGGCUACGCGUUGUGCAACACGUUCAGGGACUGCGGUGGCAUGGACUUGCUGAUGAACAAUUGCGUAUCCAAAGACAACAAGCUGCAGUUUUCCAGUGCCAGGUUGCUGGAGCAAUGCCUGACGGCGGAGAACCGCACUUACGUGGUUGAAAACGGACUGGAAAAGGUGGUGAACUUGGUGUGCGAGUACAAGAGCCAAGUGAGCUCGGCCGAUCAGUCGAAAGUUAGCACCGGCAUCUUGGAACACCUGUUCAAGCACAGCGAGGUGACGUGCAGCGACGUGAUCAGGUUGGGUGGGCUGGAGGUGCUACUGUACGAGUGCCGACGGCGGGACAUCGCAACGUUGCGGCAUUGCGCGGGCGCGCUGGCCAACCUGUCGUUGUACGGCGGUGCGGAGAACCAAGAGCUGAUGAUCAAGCGCAACGUGCCCACGUGGCUGUUCACGUUGGCGUUCAACACGGACGACAACAUCAAAUACUACGCGUUCCUGGCCAUCGCGGUGCUGGUGGCCAACAAGGAGAUCGAGGCGGCCGUGCUCAAGUCGGAGACGCUGGACCUCAUCGACCCGUUCGUCACCACGCACACGCCGUCCGAGUUCGCCAAGUCGAACCUGGCGCAUGCACAUGGCCAGAGCCACCACUGGCUGGAACGGCUGGUGCCGGUGCUCAACUCCAUAUGCGAGGAGGCGUGCAACCUGGCCGCAUUCCACUUCUGCAUGGAGGCCGGCAUUAAGAAGCAGCAGGGCAAGACCAGCAUAUUUCGCGUCAUCAACGCCAUCGAGCCUCUGAAGAAGGUGGCCAGCUGCCCGAAUGCGAUCGCGUCUCGGUUCGCCGCACAGGCGCUGCGGCUCAUCGGCGAGGAGGUGCCGCACAAGCUCAGCCAGAAGGUGCCGCUGUGGUCGCCCGAAGACGUGCGCGAAUGGGUUCGGCAGAUCGGGUUCGGUGAGGUGUCAAGGAACUUCGUGGACAGCCGCGUGGACGGUGACCUGCUGCUGCAGCUCACCGAGGACAACCUCCGCCAGGACAUUGGCAUCAGCAACGGCAUAAUGCGCUGCAGGUUUAUGAGAGAAAUAUACUGCUUAAAACGAUUGGCCGACUACAGCAGCCGAGACUCGACCAAUCUGAACUCGUUCCUACAGUCCAUCGGACCGGAGUUUUCCGUUUAUACGUAUUCGAUGUUGAACGCUGGCGUCGACAGAGAUUCGAUCAGGUCAUUGUCGGACGAACAACUGUCGAGGGAGUGCGGAAUCACGAACAGCAUUCACCGGUACAGGAUACUAGACGCGAUCAGAGACAUGGAGACGUUCAUGGAAAUGUCGUCGUACGAGGAGAGCACGAAGAAAAACUUGGACGUGUUCAUCAGUUACAGACGUUCGACUGGAUCUCAAUUGGCCAGUUUGCUCAAAGUUCACCUGCAGCUCCGGGGGUAUUCGGUGUUCAUCGACGUGGAACGCCUGGAGGCCGGCAAGUUUGACAACAACCUAUUGCAGAGCAUCAAACUGGCCAAGACGUUCCUGCUGGUGCUGACGCCGAAAGCGUUGGACCGGUGCGUGGGCGACAACGAGUGCAAGGACUGGGUGCACAAGGAGAUCGUGGCCGCGAUACAAGACCAGUGCAAUAUCAUCCCGAUAAUGGACAACUUCGAGUGGCCCGAGGCGGAGACGUUGCCGGAGGACAUGCGCAACAUAUGGAAGUUCAACGGGGUGCGGUGGAUCCAUGAUUACCAGGACGCGUGCGUGGACAAGGUGGAGAGGUUCAUGCAGGGCGAGACGAACGGGAUCCGGGACGGGGCCAGCUCGGGCUUGUCACUGAACCGGUCGGGCGGCGGAGGCCCUUCGACCAUCAAGAGCGACCCUUCGGCUCCGAACACGCCGUUGAUGAUGGGAAGAUCACCGCCCACGUACCAGCGGACCCAGUCCAACGACAGUGAACGGGACCUGAACGGUAGUAAAGAUUGACUAGCGGCGAACACUUCCAGGUACGAUGACGGCGAUGCGGUUCAAGUUUUUUUUGCCACCCGAACCCGUCGCUCCUCGUGUCCGUCCGCUUGUUGUCGUAUGCACCGAUCCUGCAGCAGCGUGCGGCGAUAUCACGGCUAGAUACCGGAAGUGUUCGCGACAACCGGCGGCGCGGAAGCCGCCCAUGAGCCCGACGUCCGGUCACGGCGGCAAGAGCAAGAAGCGCGCCCGGAGCGUGGAAGGUCUGCUGGAGACGACCGCCGUGGCCGCGUCGUCGCCGCCAUCGCAGGCGCAGGCCCAGAUGAAGAAGGCCAGGAGCUUAGAGGAGUAUCUGGAUAGAUGCGACGGGGACGCGGAGGAGGACGGCAACAGUGCGUCCGCGUCCGCCACCGAUAGCCUCAAGAAACGGACUAACUUCGUGGACAAGUGCAUCGUCAAGAUGAAAUCGCUGAUGGCCGGUCACCGGCCGAAGGACGGCGGCGGCGGGGACUCGUCGAAGUGAUGACUUGGCCGAAGUAACUUCGGGGGUCGACGUAACAUAACCCUAAGAACAAUGUAAUUUUAAUUAUACAUAUAUAUAUAUAUAUGUUUAGUGUAUAUACGUGGUGUACAUAGUUUUUACGUAGAUGUAAUGUGAUUAUCGUUUUUACAUUUUUUUAAUGCUUGUGUUCACCUACUGUUCGUACCUUAUAAUAUAUGUAUAUUUUUUUAAACCUCUAA
rnacentral:misc_RNA from 1 species